CUGCACUCCACUAUCAAAAAAAAAAAAGAAAAAAAGGAAAUGAUGAUAUGCGCUGGCUGCAAACAGCAGCCUCCUCAAUAGUACAUGCAACCUAUUGCCUGAAUGGACUGCCCUAAGAGACCCUAGAGACCAUG